rfam:Trichobilharzia regenti genome assembly, scaffold: TRE_scaffold0014280
AUCCAUAUGAUGAGUUCCAAACAGGAUGAAAUGCGCAUCCUGGAU